ACUCAUGGUACUUGAACAGUGGCUGAUUGGUCAACUAGUGAUAUAAGUGGCAACGACUAAACUGUUGAGUCUCUACGUGGGUUUUCAAAAUGAGUCAAGAGUCAAGAAAUUAGCUGUAAACAUGUCUUUGAGAUGAUACAUUGUCAUCAUCAGCAUCAUAUCCUAAUUGACAAAGAAGGAUUGCGAGGGAAACUAAGCAUGUGCCUUCAUUUUCACUUGAAAUAAAGCGCAAGGGAAAGAUCUCAUGUUAUCACAUGAUGCCGUGUGAUCACCUAGAAGCCCUUCCACGUAUAUUUCUUCUCAAAUUGUCUUCUUCUAAUUUCUUGGGCCACCGCGGAACCACAAUGUCAAUGGAUGAGCGAGUGUUGCUCAGCUCGCAGCAUUUGGAGCCGGAGCUCAGCUUCCCUUAUUUGUUGGUCGUUUGGUAGGCGUCGCCAAAGGGCAAAGAGGAUCCUCUGGCGUUCGUGGAGCUGGUCCUCAAUGCGAUUGAUUUCUUCUCCAAGUUGAGCAAGUCUUUGUACCAUAGCCAUAGAAUUAUUUACUUUGGACCGAUGCAAUUCUCUUCUAAAAAUUUCAGGGAGCACUUUUCAUCUGCACCCAAAGAUUUCAUCAUAAUUUUAUUGUAUACACACUUGCUUCAACAGCUAUCACGGCUCACUCUUUUUUUGUUAAAUAUUGUUGUUGCCAUUAAUUUUGACAUAUUUGACGUUAAAAGACAACUUUACCUUUAUUUAUAUUUUUUAAUACAAAAUUACCAAAAAACCACAACACCAAUUUCUAAUUCCAAUUGACUUGUGGGGAUAUUAAAAUUUAAUUUUGGCAUCUUUGACCUUAAAAGAUAAUUUUACCCUUAUUUAUAUUUUUUAAUGCAAAAUUACCAGAAAAACCACAACACUAGUUUCCAAUUCUAACUCACCUAUGUGGAUAUUAAAAUUUCUUAAAGGUUAGAAAAAAAGUAAAAAUGUGUUGUUCAAAAUAUCUCCUCUGCCAUCAUCCAUAAACGUCCAUUCUUCAUAACAAUCUAGUAAACUUGCAAAAAGCAAGAUCCCAGUCAAUCAACCAGCCAAAAUUCUUCAUAAAGUUUAGCUUUUCUUAAAAAAACUUAAAUCUUGAGUUAAAAAUUUUAAUUCCUGAGACCCUAAAUUAACUGGUAUUGAAAGUCGCAUGUUUCUAUAACAAAAAUCUUCAAAAAUAACACUACAAUGAAAAUCUUCAAGUUAAAUAAAAAUUUAUAUUCAUAAUAUUUAUGAAUAAAUUAUAAAUAAUAUAGAGUGGUUUAAUUGAAUAUAGAGUAGUUUACAAUUUUAUAGUGUAUUCACUAAAUAGGAAUCGAAAUUAUUUGGAAACAUAAUGAGUUAGAAUCAGAAUAUGUAGAAUCGAAAUAAGGAAUUAGAAUCAGAAUAAUUUAUUUACUUGAACUGUAGGAAUCGUAAUUAGAAUGAGUUGUUUACGUGUUUACUUUGUCUUAGAAUCAAAAUCGGAAUUAGUUAAAUUGUAACAAAUUACUAUAAAAUCCUUAAUUAAUUUUUAUCAUAAUUAUUAUUUCUUAUUUUAACUAUUGUGAUUAUUAUUAAUAAAAAAAUUAUUUAUUAACAAUAAUUAUUGUUAAUUAUUAUUAUUAUUAAAAAGUUAACUAAAAAUUAUUAUUAAUUAUUGUUAAUAGAUUAAUUAAUUAUAAUACUUUUUAUUCUUGUUAUUAAUAAUAAUAAUAAUCCAUUUAUAAUUUAUAAUUUUAUUUAUAAUUAAGUGGAAAUUAAAGUGGUAGGGUCCCAAUCAAAAUGUGGCACGAACACAUUUAUCCAACAGCAAGAUUUUUCGAUUGCCAUCCCCACUAAUUUGGUGUAAUGACUAAGAGUUAAUUGAAAAAUAUUUAGUUUAAUUUUACAUUUAAUUUUUUUCAUUUUUGUAUUAAGAAUUAUUUGAAAAAUUAUUAUAUUCCCUUAAUUUUACCAGAAUCCCGUUGACUUAGCCCCGAGUCUCUUGAUUAAAGCGUUUUAAAAAAAAAAAAGUUCAAAAGAUUCAGAUAGCUCACUCGAUUAUAGGGCGUCUGCACCUUACGCUCGCUUUUGUUGUGCUGCCAGUAGCUGCUGCUUCCUUCAAGACCGAGCUCUCUGCCGCUGUUGCUUCCUUCAAGACCGAGCUCUCUAAGCCCCUCACUGUCGAUUUUGACCUUUGCUUCCUUUUGGCUUCACGAUCUAGAAGCCAUCGUCGCUUCAUUCAAGCCAUCACUUCACGAAAGAAAAAAUAAUAAUAAUAAUAGUGGUAAUAAUAAAUACUCUUACAGAUCUCUUCUUCAUCAAAUUUGUAAAAUUUAGAGAAAAUGCAAAACAGCAAUAAUGAUGAAGCUUCGGUGACAAAGACGACGGAGAAGCCGCCGCUGCCGAAGCGAUCGAAGACGAUCUCGACGACACUCACUUCCCAGGCCCACUUUUUCCCGCCGUUCGCCAAACCGACAAGCCGUUCGAUCUCCGCGUGUCCCUUGACUCCGAUGCUGUGGCGUCGUCUUCUUCGUCGUCGUCGUCGAGUAAUGGGUUUAACGAAAGAGACUGGAUGUACCCGUCGUUCUUGGGCCCGCAUAUGGGUCGGAGGCGGAUCAAAGUCAAACCCAAUAAGCUUGAAUUUAAAGGAAAUGAGGAGCAGAAGAAGAUUCAAGAGUUGGGUUCGAAGAAAGAAGAGAAGGAGGUGGCGAGUUUUUCAGUGACUCAGACGAGUUCAGUGAGUCAGUUGAGUGGAAAGACUCGUGGGUUAAAGAGCUCCUUGAUGACGUAUUACAUGGUUAGUAGUUUGAGUUGAGCUCAACUGCUGUAAAUUUCUUUAUAUUUUAGCUUAAAACGUUGACAAAUUAAACUUAAAAAAUCAAUGAAAUGUAAAGCUGGUAUUUUUCUUUUUCUUUUUUUCUUUCUAUCACUAAAGAAGAUAAAGAAUCGUGAUCAUAAAAUCUAAGUAUUACGAAUGCAAUCUUCAUCGCAAUUGAACAUUGUAGGACUAUUUUCUAAAGUUGAAUGAAAUCAACAUAUUCACGCAUACAGCCCAGCAAAAGAAAACUUCACUCAAUGAAAACCGACGCCAAUGCUUAAUUAAAGUCAAACACAUGACAUUAAGAAAUUUCUAAUAAUCUUAGAAAUAAGCUAGUCCAUAAUCACUUGAGAUCAUUUCCUCACCCCAUAAUCCAUCAACUAACUGAGAAAUGACAACUCACCAAUUAGUUUUUCAUCAGAACUCAUAACACAGCACUUACCCAUUCACAUAAUAAAAGUAUUGACAUUAAUGAGAGCGUAACUUAAUCAAAUAAUAAUCCAUUAAUAAAAUGAAAAUUAACAACUUAUACCUUCAUAGAUGAUUCUUGUGCACUUGACUUUCUAAGCAAAGAACGUCACUAUUCUUUUCAAGAAGGCAGCCACCACAAAGCAUAGAAGCUUCUUCAUAUAAUAGUACAACAAUCAAAACCUGAAACAUACGCAUUAGUAUUAAUUUAUUAUAAUUUAGCAGCAGUAAAUAUUUUUAUAAAAAAGUUAUCUGCAGUAAAUAUAAGAAUAACAAAGAAUAAAAUCUUAGAUCAACAACAGAGAACCUAAACUCUACAACUUGCUUGAACUACUAUCAACAUCAUACUGCAUAAUCAAAUAGACAAAAUAGUUUAAUAUAUAAUUUGUAUUGACCUGCAUACUAUCACGUAAAAAAUAUUGUAACAAAAACAAAACAUAAAAUUGUUUGGUGAUCACAAUGGAUCCUGGAAUGACAACAACUACAUUAUUAUAAUGAGUUUGACAUGUCAUUGUACAUGGAUUCGUUAUGAUGAAUCAUGAAACACCGUUGAGUAGUUAAUUCAGCCACUUUUCACCUAUAAAUUUGAUGGCAUACUUUGAAUACACAACAUGGUUAUAAAUAUAAGUUUAGAGAAUUUUUGUGGGAAAGAAUAAUUUUGUUGACAAAAGAUUAAGUACAAAAAUUAUAACAUCUCCAUUUUUAAUAUAGCUGACAUAAGUUAUUCGAGUGAAAAAAAAAAAAGAGGGAACUUAGAUACGCCAUAUUAAAUAGGGCAGUAAUAAAAAAAAUCUAAUUGACAUAAAUUAUUUGAGCAAAUGACAAAUUUUUGCUAAGAAACUCGUUUUCAUUUUUUCCCAAAUAAUAAUCAAUGUUUUUUUCCACUACGCAUCGAAAGAGCUCGCAUCGACAUCAAUCAUGAACCAGUCGUGGCCUAGCUAUAUUGCCUGCAUUAUGAAUACCACCUAUGACCUUUACAGCCUAACCGUUUAUCUCAGUCUAUUUUUAAUACUCAGUCACAGGUCCAGACCAUUCAAGUUCAGGACAUGACCCUACUGGUCCCAUUAUAUAUCUAUUUAAAUUUCUUUUUUUUUAGAAUGUCUAUUUAGAUUUCUUAAAUUUAAAAAACAAAUCAACUUCUAGCCCUUUAAAAAAAAAAAAAUCUAAAAUCAACAAAGCUAUUAAUUUGAAGAUAUUUUGAAUUCCAAUUCCCAAUUAAAAUCAUGAAUAUAUCAGCUAUAUCAUAGCUUCAGCAUAACUAGUAAGUGGUGACAUCAAAUUUUCAAAUAUUUGGAACUGGAAGCAAAUAUCUAGUUAAUGAUUAAAGUAGUUGACGAAUAAAACCUCUCGUAUUAUCAUAGAGGCUACCCCAAUAGCUUGCAAUAACUAUGUAUGGUGCAGUAAAGUUUCAGGAUAGAUGAAUAAACUAAAAAGCAAAAGAGAAAUAUCAGUUGCAGCAAGAACUACGUCAUCUCCACCUCGAUUAUUAUUCAAAUAUUAACACCAAAUGUCACUGAACAACACAAGAGAAACAUGAUCCAUAUUUUAAAUGUAUCUGAAUAGCAUAAAUAUGAAAAUCAUUGCAGAAAGUAAAAAAAAAAAAAGAAAAAAGUAAAGAGAAAUUUAUCUCACAGCAUUCCUAUUAUUAAAAAAUAUCAAAUAAAUGUGCUCCGAGAUAUAACUUCAUGCACAUUCAGAAGUUCUCAGGCCAAAGAACAUUAUAGCAACUACAAAAACUCAUGAGCCAGCAGGUCUUGUCCCAGUACAAGGUGAAGCAACUAAAAUUAUGCUUUAAGAACUUUAUAUAUAUAUAUCACGAACGCAGGAAGAAAAUUAUUUCUAUAUCAAAAUCAAGAUCACCCAACCAAACAAUGGUACCUUCCAAUAUACCUAGUGUAUGUAUAUAGGCAUCCAUUGAUUGAUACUUUGAAUUUAAUUAAUAAAUCAAUUUCAGGUGUCAUGUUUCCACAUUAAAGAGAGAUAAUAACAAUUAACUAGAUAUGACAGGACUGGAUAAAAAUUUGCUCAAAAUAUACUACAAAGAUCAAAUUUUAUUACUUUUCACCUGCUGUCAUUUCUCUCCAACGUCAGAUCAUGACCUCGAGCAACUCUUUCGGCUUUCUUCGCCCAUUUUUCUUCUUUUUACAGCAUGAAGCUAAUACGAAGCCAAAUGAAAAGUAGAUUAGUCAUUUCAAAUUCAAUUUAAUUGUCAAUUGAAAAGUUCAAUUGUUACCUUCAUCAGCUGUAGAAUCAAUAGUUAAUGAAAUAUACAAUAAGAAGAGUAAAAAAUUUCACCUGCAAAUUAGGACAGCCGAGGAAGCAUCCGUAAACAUAAGAGUAAUUAUAUCACUCUGAAAUUUCAUAAGAGAGAAUUAGGACAGCAGCGAAAGAAAUAAACAAAGCAAUUUGCAAAGGACACAGGCAUAAACAUGAUAGUAAGAAUAAAAUAUCAAACUGUAAGAAGAAGCGAGAAAAACAAAUCAAAAACAAACUGAGAAGCAGGAAGAGCUGUGAUGGUAAAUUCUUCAUCUAAAGCAGUUGAAGAACGAGCAAUGGAUACCGGUCCUUCUUCGUGCUAUCGAGAAAGGAGUCAGAGUUGAGAUCGAGAGAACAACGGAGACCGAUUCUUCGUCUCCGUAAUUUUCCCCUUUUUCUAAAAUGCUAUUUCGCAUUUCCUUUGCUUUUUGGUUUCCGUAUUUCGAUUUUG
rnacentral:lncRNA from 1 species